CCCGAAGUCCAUGACACAUUCGCAUGUCGGGUCUGAUCCUAAUCUUGAUCAUUACCUAAGAAGUUAAGACUAGGGGAUGAGCUUGAAAUAGCUCAUUGUGAAUCAAUAUCAAUAUAAUCAAUUACAAUUUCAUUACAGUAUAUGCAGUACAAGGCAAAUUUCAAUAAACAUACGAAUAUGUCAUGAGCGCGAUGCGAUGCACAAGCGGGCGCUUCAUGAUAUAGAAUUUAAGUCUAACUAUAUGUACUAGGACGAUUUGCCAAUAUCAUUAGUGUAGUAUUUACAUCAUACAAACUGGCACACUUAUAUUUGGUGCAUUAUCCUCAAAGACACCACUGCUUAAUUAUUUGCGCAUUCCGGAAGACAACUCAUCUUACUCGAUUGCCUUUAAUCUAUUACGGAUGACUUGAAAACAGAAUAUUUCAUGUUCGAUUAUACAAAGCCUUGCACACAUAAAGCUUUCACUAUGAGAUUUCAUACAUGAAAUACCAUAAUACAGAUUUUAUUAAGCCAUCCAUUCUUAAGUCUCAUUUUUUAUUAUUGAUAGUGAUGUUUCUAGAAACUCGUUGCUUCUUACUUUGUUUUGCAAAAUUUCAUUAUCUUUCAAGGCAGCGAAAAAACACUAUACAUGUCAGACUUUAAUUAGGUUGAGUAACAUGCAUUUUCUAAUUAACAUAUAUAGUCGAUGUGUUUAAAUAAUGCAUGCCUAAAACCCAAAUCCGAAAACCACAAACCAGAGCCAAAAAUAAUACUUUACAGUCCAAAAACUGAAUAAAUACUUAUUCAAAAUUAUUAAUAGUAAAAAUAGUCCGAAGUCCAUGAUACGUCCACAUGUCGGGUCUGAUCCUAGUCUCGAUCAUUACCUAAGAAGUUAAGACUAAGAGGUGAGCUUAAAAUAGCUCAGUGUGAAUCAAUAUAAAUAUAAUCAAUCAUUUCAUUAUAAUACAGUACAAUACAAGGAAAUUUUCAAUAAACGUACGAAAAUGUCAUGAGCAUGAUGCAAUGCAAAAAGGUUCCUACCCAUCCAUCUGCUACACACCACGAGUUCUCCAAGACCUGUUUGCCAAACACCAAACAAUGCAAGCCAAAGCUCGAUGUGGAUAAACCACCAGUACAGUAGUACAGAUAAACUGCUAAUAAAUAUGCAGAUAAACUGCCAAUAAAUAUGCAGACAAGCAGUCAAUUUCGUGGACAAGCCACCAAUAAUGGUAAAUGCCGUGAAACUACCAAUAGUGUGGACAAGCCAGCAACAAUGCAAACAAGCUGCCAAUAAUGCGACAAAAUUUCCAAUCUCUUCGGUACUCCCAGUGCAGUGCACUGACAACAACAUUGCGAAAUUUAACUGUCGUCGGUACUCCACGAAACUCCUCCAUCAACCACAAGAACCCACCUCAUGCAUAUGCAAUAAGACAUACAAUCAUUGAGCAAAAUCAUGCUUUCAGUUUGAUUUUAGUACAAUGGCAUGUUUUACAUGCUUACGGUAACAUAUUCAAUUCAAUGGCAUGGUUAAACAUGCUCAUAGUAACAUAUUCAGUUUAAUGGCGUGCCUAACGUGCUUAUGGUAACAGUUUUAGUACAUGCAUUGCAAGCCUUCAGUCAAUCGAUGAAAUGGCGUCGCAAUCAAACACACUUAAUAUGCAAUCAAACAAUGACUCAAUGAGUUGCAUGCUAUUCAAGUACCCAGUAAACAAUAACAAUCCAUAUCAUGUCAUUACAAAGUAUAUCAAUAUCAAGCAUGCAACAAAUUAAUCAGACACACCAAAUGUGCAUUCAUGCAAAUUUGAUAAGGCUUAUCUCUCGAUAAAUUGUAAAUAACGUACCAUGCUCGGCACGGUUCAAUAUUCUUAUUUGGCCACUCGGCCAUGUCCUACCAGCAAGCAAUAUUUACCAAUUCAACAUAUAUUUUAAUGUAUUACAAACAAUUAUUUAAACUUUGGACUCACACCUUAAUUCGCAACUCGCAGCAUUACGCUGUAAAGAGCCACACUUUCGCACCUUAAACGAUCGUUGAUUUAAAAAAAAUCAUUAAAACAUUCAUCUUACACUUAUGACCAGCCUUGAAACAUUCCUAAGGGUUUAGACAAGGCAAUAUUUCAAUAACGAAUUUUCAAAUUCAAAAAAAUGAUCAAUCUUACACUAAAACAACGCUUAGCGAGAGUGCGAUUAGGUUCCGAUUUUGCUGCUGGUCUGGGAUGUUACAAUCAGUACCUAUGAUCAAUUUUAUAAAAAAAAUCAGUAAUUAAACUUUACUAAAAGGCCUUAGAAAUAUCUGGCCAAAACAUCAGCUUUAAGCGAAAUUAAUACAAUACUAGCUUUCGCUAAAUUCUGCACUUACGCUACUCGUUAACUACUUUCGUGUCACCAAAUGAAGGGAAACGACUUCGCCUAAAAAUUAUAAAAACAUGAUUAAAAACUGAUUAUAUGAGACGAGUGACAAUAUUUUCCUAGCUAGAAAAGGGUGGCAAAAGUGAUAAAACAUCAACCCCCAAAGUGGUGUUUAAGGCACACCACCAUGGACGGCACAAAGAGGGGCUGCUUAGGGAUUGUUUUAAAUUUGAAAAAAUAAAGGAAAAGGGGAUGGAAACAGAGUUAUAUCAGUAUAAUAAGGACAAAAAUCGACAGACACAAUAGAGGUUUUAAGGAACGGGAAACACCCCCAACGGCGGUGGUUUAGAGUGCUGCCUUGGGAAAUUUUUAGGGAAUGUAUAAGGCUAAAAGGAGGCUAUUUUUUAACAACAAAUUAACAUAAAAUUCCAGAAAUAAAUCAAUAAUAAAUGGAAAUAAAAGGAAGAGAAAAUAAACAUCACCUACACAAAGAGGAGAAGGGCGACAAUGGUGAUUUUUUUGUGGAAGCAAUGAGGGUUGUUUUCGUGUGGUAAAAAUAAAAAAAUGAAGAUUGGAAAAUGAAUGGAAAAAGGACAGCAAGAAGUUGAAGAAAAUGAACAAAAAACCACCACCAGUAGAGGAGAAGUGGACAGUAAAGAGGGUGCAAAAGACUAGGGUAUGGGUAACUCAAGAAAGGAGAAGAGAAAGGAAAAAAAAUAUAUUGAGAGAGAAGGAAGAUGAGGUGUUGGAUGGUAGCUACAAAAGGAGAACAAUGAAGAAGUACAGAAAAUUUAAAAAAAAGUAUGCUUAACCCUAGGGUUACUACGUUGGAUAGCAAUACAAUAGGAGCAAGAAGAAAAUUUUGUAAAAAAUUCAACAAUAUGCAAUAGAAGGGAUUCAAACUCAGGUCUCAAAGACUACUGCACUCACUCCUUAAUUCUCUCAAAAAUUUGGGAUGUUACAUAAAUAAUCCCCCUUAGUGUGUCUUGCACCAAUAAUUACAGAUAAUCAAAUAAGCUAGAUUUUGGCGAAAAGUCCUUGUUGCGAACUGCUGUUAGCGACUUGCCCUAAUGAACUCAGAUUCGUAUUACGGUCCUUAUCUAUUCCUAAUUUAGACCCAAGUCUGCAUAUUCAUGUUUUACGAAAACAUACUGGCAGAUUCAUAAAGAAGACUCCUAUUGUGGGUUAAGAAAGAAAAUCAGCUCAUCUUAAUCAAACAGACCAAUCUAGUGAAUCGUCGUAUCCUACCUCAAUAAUAAUAGAUAACCCAUCCAUAGUGGUCCACUUCUAGAAACAGAUAACAUGUAGGCAAAUUCUUAAGAGCGAAUCCCCUAUUUACGGAAUCAUACCUGUAAGAUAAUCCUGAUGGAUUAUCUUAUCUUGCACAUAUGGACUCACGUAACCAGAUAACCCUCUCUUGGUGGACUUAUCAAGCGGAUCCCAAUUUUGUGGAUGCAAAGAGCCAACAUACAUAUAUAUAUUCUCACACAAGAUUUUAACUUGCGAACUUCCCCAUGAUUAUGCAACCUAGGCAAGUCAGGCGAAUUCAUAACGCGAAUUGCUUUGUAGAUCUCAUUGGAUCUGGCCAUGGUCAUAGACCUGCCUUCAUUCAAACGUCCCAUAAAGGACUUUCAUACAUCCGAUAAAGGGGCUCUCAUAUACGUCCCAUAAAGGGCACUCAUAUACUGGCACCUUUCUUCAUACAAUCCACUUGAACCUCCGCAAAUCCUCUUUGUUAAUUCGAGAAAGCAUCGUACGAUAAACCGAAAGAUUUUAGGGCAUUACAAAACACUUUCCAAAUCAUUUAAUAGGGUUUUUUAGCAACUAAAACAUGAACUUUCAAUCAAUUAACAUCUCAUCAUUGAAUUGAAACACAAGUAGCAGCAUAAUUACGUCUUUCAACGCAACAAUUGCAUUUUUAAGCAUCCAAACACACCAAUAAUCAUAAAGUCAACAAUACAUACAAUUACAUAUCAUUUAAUCACUUCACAUUUUCAAACGUUCUAAUUACCUUACUACCAAACCUAGGCGAAGAGCAAAGGCUAGACUAUAUUAGUAACAAGUAAACCCUUUGUAUGUAAAAAUCUCGAUAUAUUUUUGGGAUAAAGGUGAAUCGUAAGGCCUAAUACGACCCAUAAAGCACUUGAUCACAAUCAACUUUGUACGCCUACUUGGGUAUUGAGCAUUUACCUGAAAAAAUGAAAUUCCUUGGAAUGUAUAAUUGCAAC
rnacentral:lncRNA from 1 species